GGAGGAAGAAGAGGAAGAAGAGGAGGCAGAGGAGGUAGAAGAUGAGCAGGAGAAGGAAGAUGAGGAAGAGGAGGAAGAAGAGGAGGAGGAGGAAAAAGAGGAAGAAGGAAGAUGAAGAUGAGAAGGAGGAAGAAGAGCAAGAAGAGGAGGCAGAGGAGGUAGAAGAUGAGCAGGUGAAGGAAGAAUAAGAGGAAGAUGAGGAAGAAGAGGAGGA